UUUAAUAUUUAAUGAUGCUGUCCCUAACUUUUUUUUGGUCUAAUGUUA
rnacentral:sRNA from 1 species